rnacentral:rRNA from 1 species
CAGUCGCCGCGGGAAUACGUAGGGUGCGAGCGUUAAUCGGAAUUACUGGGCGUAAAGCGUGCGCAGGCGGUUGUGUAAGACAGGUGUGAAAUCCCCGGGCUUAACCUGGGAACUGCGCUUGUAACUGCACAGCUAGAGUAUGGCAGAGGGGGGUGGAAUUCCACGUGUAGCAGUGAAAUGCGUAGAGAUGUGGAGGAACACCGAUGGCGAAGGCGACUCUCUGGUCUGUAACUGACGCUGAGGAGCGAAAGCGUGGGGAGCGAACAGGAUUAGAUACCCGCGUAGUCCCUGUCUCUUAUCC